AGUGAACGCUGGCGGUAGGCCUAACACAUGCAGGUCGAACGGCAGCACAGUAAGAGCUUGCUCUUACGGGUGGCGAGUGGCGGACGGGUGAGGAAUACAUCGGAAUCUACUUUUUCGUGGGGGAUAACGUAGGGAAACUUACGCUAAUACCGCAUACGACCUACGGGUGAAAGCAGGGGAUCUUCGGACCUUGCGCGAUUGAAUGAGCCGAUGUCGGAUUAGCUAGUUGGCGGGGUAAAGGCCCACCAAGGCGACGAUCCGUAGCUGGUCUGAGAGGAUGAUCAGCCACACUGGAACUGAGACACGGUCCAGAUUCCUACGGGAGGCAGCAGUGGGGAAUAUUGGACAAUGGGCGCAAGCCUGAUCCAGCCAUACCGCGUGGGUGAAGAAGGCCUUCGGGUUGUAAAGCCCUUUUGUUGGGAAAGAAAAGCAGCAGGUUAAUACCCCGCUGUUCUGACGGUACCCAAAGAAUAAGCACCGGCUAACUUCGUG
rnacentral:rRNA from 1 species